rnacentral:rRNA from 1 species
AUUGAACGCUGGCGGCAGGCCUAACACAUGCAAGUCGAGCGAGCGGCGGACGGGUGAGUAAUGUCUGGGAAACUGCCUGAUGGAGGGGGAUAACUACUGGAAACGGUAGCUAAUACCGCAUACCAUCAGAUGUGCCCAGAUGGGAUCAGCUAGUAGGUGUGGUAACGGCUCACUGAGUCGACGAUCCCAAGCUGGUCUGAGAGGAGGACCAGCCACACUGGAACUUAGGCACGGUCCAGACUCCUACGGGAGGCAGCAGUGGGGAAUAUUGCACAAGGGGCGCAUGCCUGAUGCAGCCAUGCCGCGUGUGUGAAGAAGACUUUCGGUUUGUAAAGCACUUUCAGCGGGGAGGCGUUACCCGCAGAAGAAGCACCGGGUAACUCCGUGCCAGCAGCCGCGGUAAUAC